GGCGCGAUUGGAUGAGCCAUGUCGGAUUAGCUAGUUGGCGGGGUAAUGGCCCACCAAGGCGACGAUCCGUAGCUGGUCUGAGAGGAUGAUCAGCCACACUGGAACUGAGACACGGUCCAGACUCCUACGGGAGGCAGCAGUAGGGAAUAUUGGACAAUGGGCGCAAGCCUGAUCCAGCCAUGCCGCGUGAGUGAAGAAGGCCCUCGGGUUGUAAAGCUCUUUUGUCCGGAAAGAAAAGCGCCGGGUUAAUACCCUAGUGUCCUGACGGUACCGGAAGAAUAAGCACCGGCUAACUUCGUG
rnacentral:rRNA from 1 species